rnacentral:rRNA from 1 species
AACGAACGCUGGCGGCAUGCCUAACACAUGCAAGUCGAACGAGACCUUCGGGUCUAGUGGCGCACGGGUGCGUAACGCGUGGGAACCUGCCCUUAGGUUCGGAAUAACUCCCCGAAAGGGGUGCUAAUACCGGAUAAUGUCUUCGGACCAAAGAUUUAUCGCCUUUGGAUGGGCCCGCGUUGGAUUAGCUAGUUGGUAGGGUAAAAGCCUACCAAGGCGACGAUCCAAAGCUGGUCUGAGAGGAUGAUCAGCCACACUGGGACUGAGACACGGCCCAGACUCCUACGGGAAGCAGCAGUGGGGAAUAUUGGACAAUGGGCGAAAGCCUGAUCCAGCAAUGCCGCGUGAGUGAUGAAGGCCUUAGGGUUGUAAAGCUCUUUUACCCGGGAUGAUAAUGACAGUACCGGGAGAAUAAGCUCCGGCUAACUCCGUG